rnacentral:rRNA from 1 species
AGUGAACGCUGGCGGUAGGCCUAACACAUGCAAGUCGAACGGCAGCACAGUAAGAGCUUGCUCUUACGGGUGGCGAGUGGCGGACGGGUGAGGAAUACAUCGGAAUCUACUUUUUCGUGGGGGAUAACGUAGGGAAACUUACGCUAAUACCGCAUACGACCUACGGUUGAAAGCAGGGGAUCUUCGGACCUUGCGCGAUUGAAUGAGCCGAUGUCGGAUUAGCUAGUUGGCGGGGUAAAGGCCCACCAAGGCGACGAUCCGUAGCUGGUCUGAGAGGAUGAUCAGCCACACUGGAACUGAGACACGGUCCAGACUCCUACGGGAGGCAGCAGUGGGGAAUAUUGGACAAUGGGCGCAAGCCUGAUCCAGCCAUACCGCGUGGGUGAAGAAGGACUUCGGGUUGUAAAGCCCUUUUGUUGGGAAAGAAAAGCAGCAGGUUAAUACCCCGAUGUUCUGACGGUACCCAAAGAAUAAGCACCGGCUAACUUCGUG